AUUGAACGCUGGCGGCAGGCUUAACACACGCAAGUCGAGCGGAGAGAGGUAGCUUGCUACUGAUCUUAGCGGCGGACGGGUGAGUAAUGCUUAGGAAUCUGCCUAUUAGUGGGGGACAACAUUUCGAAAGGAAUGCUAAUACCGCAUACGUCCUACGGGAGAAAGCAGGGGAUCUUCGGACCUUGCGCUAAUAGAUGAGCCUAAGUCGGAUUAGCUAGUUGGUGGGGUAAAGGCCUACCAAGGCGACGAUCUGUAGCGGGUCUGAGAGGAUGAUCCGCCACACUGGGACUGAGACACGGCCCAGACUCCUACGGGAGGCAGCAGUGGGGAAUAUUGGACAAUGGGCGGAAGCCUGAUCCAGCCAUGCCGCGUGUGUGAAGAAGGCCUUAUGGUUGUAAAGCACUUUAAGCGAGGAGGAGGCUACUUUAGUUAAUACCUAGAGAUAGUGGACGUUACUCGCAGAAUAAGCACCGGCUAACUCUGUGCCAGCAGCCGCCGCCGUAA
rnacentral:rRNA from 1 species